rnacentral:rRNA from 1 species
CCUACGGGGGGCAGCAGUGAGGAAUAUUGGUCAAUGGACGAGAGUCUGAACCAGCCAAGUCGCGUGAAGGAUGACUGCCCUAUGGGUUGUAAACUUCUUUUAUAAAGGAAUAAAACGAGGCACGUGUGCCUUUUUGCAUGUACUUUAUGAAUAAGGAUCGGCUAACUCCGUGCCAGCAGCCGCGGUAAUACGGAGGAUCCGAGCGUUAUCCGGAUUUAUUGGGUUUAAAGGGAGCGUAGAUGGGUUGUUAAGUCAGUUGUGAAAGUUUGCGGCUCAACCGUAAAAUUGCAAUUGAUACUGGCAGUCUUGAGUACAGUUGAAGUAAGCGGAAUGCGUGGUGUAGCGGUGAAAUGCUUAGAUAUCACGAAGAACCCCGAUUGCGAAGGCAGCAUACUAAACUGUGACUGACAUUGAUGCUCGAAAGUGUGGGUAUCAAACAGGAUUAGAUACCCCUGUAGUC